rnacentral:rRNA from 1 species
GAUGAACGCUGGCGGCGUGCUUAACACAUGCAAGUCGAACGGUGAAGGCGGAGCUUGCUCUGCUGGAUCAGUGGCGAACGGGUGAGUAACACGUGAGCAAUCUGCCCCUGACUCUGGGAUAAGCGCUGGAAACGGCGUCUAAUACUGGAUACGAGCUGCGAAGGCAUCUUCAGCAGCUGGAAAGAACUUCGGUCAGGGAUGAGCUUGCGGCCUAUCAGCUUGUUGGUGAGGUAACGGCUCACCAAGGCGUCGACGGGUAGCCGGCCUGAGAGGGUGACCGGCCACACUGGGACUGAGACACGGCCCAGACUCCUACGGGAGGCAGCAGUGGGGAAUAUUGCACAAUGGGCGAAAGCCUGAUGCAGCAACGCCGCGUGAGGGACGACGGCCUUCGGGUUGUAAACCUCUUUUAGCAGGGAAGAAGCGAAAGUGACGGUACCUGCAGAAAAAGCGCCGGCUAACUACGUG